AGUUAAGGAACGAUUUUUUGAAGGA
rnacentral:piRNA from 1 species